rnacentral:rRNA from 1 species
UUAUGGUCAUAUCACAUUGAAACACCAGUUCUUAUACAAUCACUGAAGUUAAGCAACAUUGAGCCUGAUCAGUACCUAGAUGGGUGACCACUUGGGAAUACCAGGUGCUGUAAG